UCACCCCUCAGUAGAUAUGACUCUCACUCCCUCACAGUAAGUAAUUCCAAGUCUGGAGAGAGGCUGCAGCUGUUUGGAUGGAUAAAGACAACAUCAGGUCAUUGACUCUUGCUGAUGUUUCAUGAGUAAGAAUCAGGUGGUUCUGAGAAGGUAUCCCUGCUCUGUGCUUGGUUUCCCUCUGCAGGAUGGACAACACUGGACCCACAGGUAAUGGAAGAACAAGAUGGAGGCAGCAGGAAGUCCCGGUCACCUCUUCCAGAACAGGAAGCUGCUUGAGAAUCCUGGGCAGCCUGCCAUGCCACAGACUGAAGGUUAAAUCAUUCUGAACACGGCUUCCAGAACCUCUAUUCCAACAACCUAAAGGAAACGGAGAUUCUAGGAUCAGCUGACAUCAAAAGGUGCUGUUGAUUUCAAAAUGGAACCCUGGGGAGGCAGGGCUGGGGAUGCCGACAGUCUCCGCCCCGCCUGAGCCAGCUCUGUGUUACAGAGCAUCACAGCUUCAGCAUCAUGGAGGUGACAGGAAGGUCCCCUGGACAGAAUAAAUACUACAUGGUGGAACCAACUCACAACCAGCUUGUCCAGAGUAAAGCUGUCCCUGUAGCGCAUCAGAGGACCUGGAGACUCCACUUAAAGCUGUGGGCUCUGAUUCCUGCCGCACACAUUUGUCUGCUG
rnacentral:lncRNA from 1 species